UGGUUUAAUGGUUUGAACACUGGACUAGGACACCAGAGACCAGGGUUCAAAUCCCUG
rnacentral:tRNA from 1 species